ACCGCGCAAUGAAACAUACCUACAUGCUUGCUCGCCAUGGACAACUAAACAGCAGUUGUCGACUUGCAGAGACAAGCAUGCCUGAUGGUAUUAACGCAAAUGCUGGUUAAAGGGAAUGAAGCCUGGUCCGAGGUCACCACCAGCCAUGCAUCAUGCACACACACAUCCAUCAGAAAUUCAGAACAAAGAAAAAAAAAAUGUGAUGUAGGACAGCAGGAGGCCUUGAACCAGACAACAAACCCCUUAACCGAGAACAUCAGCCAACCACCAAAGCAGAGAAAGAAAGAAAGAAGCAAGGAUAGUUUUUAGAAGACGAGAACAUCAGCCAACCAUGGCAAGCUCAGCAGCCGACCUCCCUGGGGUUUUAUGAGGCGGAGGCGGCGGCGGCGGCGUCGUCGUCAUGACAGAAAUAGCUGCAAGGCAAGACGUACACCACGCCGUGUGGCUCGGCAAGUCGGCAGCGUACUGGGAGGGUCAGUAAAUUCCCCAUUUAUUGAGAGCUCAUCGCACCGUUUUACUGUUUUGUGCGU
rnacentral:precursor_RNA from 1 species